rnacentral:rRNA from 1 species
AUUGAACGCUGGCGGCAGGCCUAACACAUGCAAGUCGAACGAGUGGCGGACGGGUGAGUAAUGUCUGGGAAACUGACUGAUGGAGGGGGAUAACUACUGGAAACGGUAGCUAAUACCGCAUACCAUCGGAUGUGCCCAGAUGGGCUUAGCUAGUCGGAGGGGGAAAGGCUCACCUAGGCGACGAUCCCUAGCUGGUCUGAGAGGAUGACCGGCCACACUGGAACUGAGAAACGGUCCAGACUCCUACGGGAGGCAGCAGUGGGGAAUAUUGCACAAGGGGCGCAAGCCUGAUGCAGCCAUGCCGCGUGUAGGAAGAAGGCCUUCGGGUUGUAAAGUACUUUCAGCGGGGAGGCGUUACCCGCAGAAGAAGCACCGGCGAACUCCGUGCCAGCAGCCGCGGUAAUUC